rnacentral:lncRNA from 1 species
CCAUGAGCUACAUAGGCACCCUUAAUGCUCUGAAUGGUACUAAAAUAGUCUAAAAGAUAAAAUUAAUUUUAUUGUAUAUAUUUUGCCUUUCUCAUAGAUUUCAUCUGAUUUGGGGAAUUCUUGUGAAUGGAUUUGAAGAUUCAAAUCAGAAAUAGAACAUCCCAUGAGUAUCUUAUUUGGUUCUUUGAAAUUGUCUUCUCACCUCUCACCAUAGUGAGCAACAAGUUUAAACUCUGGGACUGUCGGAUGUGUGAACAGGAGGAGAGGGUGAGUUCACCAAUAUGAUAAAAUCAGCAGAGGGAGCACCAAACAUUCUAAUUCCACCAACCCUUCAAAAAUAUAGUUGAAAGAUUUCUAUUACAGUACACUUCAAACUAUAUCAACCAGAGAUGCAUUAAAACAAUUUUUGAAAACAUUUUUUAGUUGUAAAUGGAUCUUUUAUUUAUUUAUUUAUUUAUGCGUAUGCUAUGCGGUGCUGAAGAUUGAACCCAGGGCCUCACACAUGCCAGGCAAGUGCUCUACCACUGAGCCACAACCUAGCCCCAGCCCCAGCAUUAAAACAAUUUUCAUGUGAUUGAGUAUUUUCAAAUUAUAAUAAUGAAUAAAAUCCAUGAGAUUUUAUCUACAACAGUGUUUCUGUGGGUCAUGUUCUAUUUAGAAAUCCAAUAUGCUGUAUUAAAUUGAUCAAUGACCCUUUGCGUCGCUUGGCUCCAAAUACAUCAAUGUUUUUCUCUAAAUAUUAAAUUAAUAUUAAAUAAAUAUUAAAUUAAUAAAAAAAAUAUAUAAGAAUAGCCUUGCCUCUUUGGAUCAAGAAGACAUUUAAUGAAACCUGCUUCUCCUUUUGAUUGCCUAUGAUUACAUGCCUUUGUAGAAAUCAACAUUUUUAGUUUAAAAUAGAUGUUGUUCUUUAUUUUGUGAGUUUAAUUACAGCAUACCUUGAUAAAAAUGGAUAUCUAAUAUAUGAGAUUUUUCUGGAAAAGAAAAGCAAUGUAAAUACCAAUAGGGAAAUCUUGUAAUAAUUUUUAGUUCACUAUGUCCAAAUAUGUCUAAAUGGAGUGGAAUGGCAUCUGUAAAUUGUUCUUCCUGGUCACGUGGAAACAAAGUUAGCUAUCUCUUCUCACUCGACUUUUGAGUAAAAGGUGGGGGGGAAAAAGGCCUGGUAUCUCCUUGCAACUGUUAGAAAUUAAAAAUAAAUAAAUAAACAGUAGGAUUCUAAAA